AUGCUCUCUUCAGCAUGUAUACUAAAAUUGGAACUAUAUAGAAAAGAUUAACAUGGUCCCUACACAAGGAAAGUUAGAAAGGAAGAUGGAACACGGUUCU
rnacentral:snRNA from 1 species